UUAAGGUAUAAUUUUUAAAUAUAAUAUAUUUUCUGUAUUAAAUAAAAUGAAAAAAUAAAUUAAAAGACAUAAUUCUGAAAAGCAAUUAGCUUAAACGGUAAGCUACAAGUCCGGCCCUAUUUAUAUACCAACAUUCCAAUACAAUGCCAUUUAUUGCCGCUCUUCUUCUUCGCUUUCUCUGUCUCAAAACAUGUCGAUAUUUUCCUGCUCCAAGUUUCAUUUGAAUUUGUCUACUUAGCUUUGGGAUGUGGGGCAGCUGCAUUUCUUUAGGUCCCUUGUUUGGUGAAAGACAGCCUUCUCGAAUAAUACUAUUUUGCAGCAAGAUUUAGCUUUCUGUGACAAGGAAACCAAUAUGGGAGAGGUGGUGGGGCGGAUGUCUGGUGACACUGUUCUUGUACAAGACGCAAUGGGGGAGUAGGUAGGGAAAUUUGUACCGCUGAUAUUAACAUGCCUUGCGGGUUUUGUCAUUGCAUUUACCAAAGGCUGGCUUCUCACAGUUGUUAUGUUAUCCAUCAUUCCUCUACUUGUCAUCUUUGGUGGAGUGAUGUCCCUCAUCCUAUCUAGGAUGGUGCCCCGUGGACAAGAUGCUUAUGCCAAGGCAGCAAGACAAUAGGCUCCUUUAAAAUGAAAAUAACCACCAGUAGAUGAGAUUGAUCUUGUUUCCUCGUCAGGCUGCAUCUUUUACAGGGGAGAAGCAAGUUGUGGCCAGCUAUAACGAGUCCCUAAUUAAAGAUUACCAUUCAGGGUCAAAUGAAGGGCUGUUAAGUGGAUUAGGUCUUGGGUCACAUUUUGCUAUUAUGUACUCCAGCUAUGCUUUGGCUAUCUGGUACGGUGCAAGGUUCAUCUUGGAAAAAGAUAUAUCGGUGGUCAAGUUCUCUAUGUUUCUGACACGAAGCUUCUCCAAUAAGUAGCAAGCAAUUUACUUUUUAAGGUUGAAGCCAAAGGAACUUUCUGUUUAGACGGCUUUUGCUGCAGGAUGUAGAACUCCAAAAAAUUGGAAAAGCGUAAGAGGAAUGGGGGCUGUUAGGCUUGUUUUCAAUUUGAAGCUGAAGUGCCAGAAAGCAAUACUACAAGAAAGGCUCUAUGCCUAUUCCUAACUUCUGAUGUAACUGCUUAAAGGUUGAAACUGAAGAAAGUUGAAGAGCUGUGAAACCCCUAUUCUUCACGGUUCAGAUCGUUUACUUAUGUACUGGAACAUUUGGAGAAGAGAGUGUGAAGGUGACAUGCAAGAAGGAAGAAAAAGAAUAAAACUGGAAAUAAACCUCUGUUCUCUUUCGGUUUGAUAGUUUGUGUGUACUGAAGGACCAUAGAAAAUUAGAGAACUGGGUGUUAUGGGUGCUUAUGGGGAGAAUGGCAAUCUGCAUCUAGCCAGGGAAGGGGGCCGCUCCCAUCGCCGAAUUGUCUUUGCUGCUGAUAUGAUAGGCAGAGAGAUAGAAAGGGCCCUAUUAGAGGCAGUUGUUAAGAAUCCUAAUCGAUAUGUGUCUGAACACCAUUUUGCUGUAGAUUUGUUGACCACUCAGGUACGUUUAUUCCUUUAUAG